rnacentral:rRNA from 1 species
CCUACGGGAGGCAGCAGAAGGGAAUAUUGCUCAAUGGGGGAAACCCUGAAGCAGCAACGCCGCGUGGAGGAAGAAGGGUUUCGGAUUGUAAACCCCUGUUGUUAGCGAAGAAAAUGACGGUAACUAACGAAUAAGCACCGGCUAAACCCGUGCCAGCAGGCGCGGUAAAACGGAGGGUGAAAGCGUUACUCGGAAUCACUGGGGGUAAAGAGCGCGUAGGCGGGUUAGCAAGUCAGAUGAGAACUCCUAUGGCUUAACCCUAGAACUGCAUUUGAAACUGUUAUUCUUGAGUAUGGGAGGGGUAGGUGGAAUUCUUGGUGUAGGGGUAAAAUCCGUAGAGAUCAAGAGGAAUACUCAUUGCGAAGGCGGCCGGCUAGAACUUAACUGACGCUGAUGCGCGAAAGCGUGGGGAGCAAACAGGAUUAGAUACCCUUGUAGUA